rnacentral:rRNA from 1 species
UACGAAGGUGGCAAGCGUUGUUCGGAUUUACUGGGCGUACAGGGAGCGUAGGCGGUUGGGUAAGCCCUCCGUGAAAUAUCCGGGCCUCACCCGGAAAGUGCGGAGGGGGCUGCUCAGCUAGAGGAUGGGAGAGGAGCGCGGAAUUCCCGGUGUAGCGGUGAAAUGCGUAGAGAUCGGGAGGAAGUCCGGUGGCGAAGGCGGCGAUCUGGAACAUUUCUGACGCUGAGGAUCGAAAGCGUGGGGAGCAAACAGG